GAUGAACGCUGGCGGCGUGCCUAAUACAUGCAAGUCGAGCGAACAGACGAGGAGCUUGCUCCUCUGACGUUAGCGGCGGACGGGUGAGUAACACGUGGAUAACCUACCUAUAAGACUGGGAUAACUUCGGGAAACCGGAGCUACUACCGGAUAAUAUAUUGAACCGCAUGGUUCCAUAGUGAAAGACGGUUUUGCUGUCACUUAUAGCUGGAUCCGCGCCGCAUUAGCUAGUUGGUAAGGUAACGGCUUACCAAGGCAACGAUGCGUAGCCGACCUGAGAGGGUGAUCGGCCACACUGGAACUGAGACACGGUCCAGACUCCUACGGGAGGCAGCAGUAGGGAAUCUUCCGCAAUGGGCGCAAGCCUGACGGAGCAACGCCGCGUGAGUGAUGAAGGUCUUCGGAGCGGAAAACUCUGUUAUGAGGGAAGAACAAAUGUGUAAGUAACUAUGCACGUCUUGACGGUACCUAAUCAGAAAGCCACGGCUAACUACGUG
rnacentral:rRNA from 1 species